GGUGAGUACUAGCGGAAGUGACGACACCUGGGUACAGCGGCAGUGGCGUGGCGGUCGUGUUACUUGGGGAGUCAGUCAGUGAGGCAGCCCCGGCCACGCGGAACACAGGUGAUCCCGCGCUCAGGUGAAGGUAAGGAGUUGUGCUUGGUAUUGUGUGCUCGCAACGCAGACGCCCACGCAGCCUUGACACGUGAAGGAAGCGACAGGCCAGGCACUGUGAUGUGACGCCCUUCAGA